ACUGAGGGAAACAGAUAAGGGAACGCAUGAAAACAAAAGUGUUCCUUUCUUCUUUUCCAGGUUUCUUCACAAGCUUUGUAUCGCACUGUGGGUGAAGUGCUGGAAAUAAAUAA